rnacentral:rRNA from 1 species
ACCCAUGUGAACAUACCUAACGUUGCCUCGGCAGGUCGCACCUACCUUGUAGCACCCUACCCUGUAGGGCCUACCCGGGAGGUGCGGGUAAGCCUGCCGGCGGCCCACCAAACUCUGUUUGAUAUUGAAUUCUGAACCUAUAACUAAAUAAGUUAAAACUUUCAACAACGGAUCUCUUGGUUCUGGCAUCGAUGAAGAACGCAGCGAAAUGCGAUAAGUAAUGUGAAUUGCAGAAUUCAGUGAAUCAUCGAAUCUUUGAACGCAUAUUGCGCCCAUUAGUAUUCUAGUGGGCAGGACCGUUCGAGCGUCAUUUCAACCCUUAAGCCUUCGUUGCUUAGUGUUGGGAGCCUACGGCAACGUAGCUCCUCAAAGUUAGUGGCGGAGUUGGUUCACACUCUAGACGUAGUAAUUUUUUAUCUCGCCUAUUAGUUGGACUAAUCCCCUGCCGUAAAACCCCCAAUUUAUCAAGGUUGACCUCGAAUCGGUUCAGACAAACUCGCUAAAUUGAAGCAUCUUAGUCAGCGAAGGAAAAGAAACCAACAGGGAUUGCCCUAGUAACGGCGAGUGAAGCGGCAACAGCUCAAAUUUGAAAUCUGGCCCUCGGGUCCGAGUUGUAAUUUGUAGAGGAUGCUUUUGGCGCGGUGCCUUCCGAGUUCCCUGGAACGGGACGCCUUAGAGGGUGAGAGCCCCGUACGGUUGGACACCAAGCCUCUGUAAAGCUCCUUCGACGAGUCGAGUAGCUUGGGAAUGCUGCUCUAAAUGGGAGGUAAAUUUCUUCUAAAGCUAAAUAUUGGCCAGAGACCGAUAGCGCACAAGUAGAGUGAUCGAAAGA